AACGAACGCUGGCGGCAGGCGUAACACAUGCAAGUCGAGCGCCCCGCAAGGGGAGCGGCAGACGGGUGAGUAACGCGUGGGAAUCUACCCAUCUCUACGGAAUAACGCAUGGAAACGUGGGCUAAUACCGUAUACGUCCUUCGGGAGAAAGAUUUAUCGGAGAUGGAUGAGCCCGCGUUGGAUUAGCUAGUUGGUGGGGUAAAGGCCUACCAAGGCGACGAUCCAUAGCUGGUCUGAGAGGAUGAUCAGCCACACUGGGACUGAGACACGGCCCAGACUCCUACGGGAGGCAGCAGUGGGGAAUAUUGGACAAUGGGCGCAAGCCUGAUCCAGCCAUGCCGCGUGAGUGAUGAAGGCCCUAGGGUUGUAAAGCUCUUUCACCGGUGAAGAUAAUGACGGUAACCGGAGAAGAAGCCCCGGCUAACUUCGUGCCAGCAGCCGCGGUAAUAC
rnacentral:rRNA from 1 species